rnacentral:rRNA from 1 species
CCUACGGGGAGCAGCAGUGGGGAAUAUUGGACAAUGGGCGAAAGCCUGAUCCAGCCAUGCCGCGUGUGUGAAGAAGGCCUUCGGGUUGUAAAGCACUUUCAGUGGGGAAGAAAGCCUUGGGGCUAAUACCCUCGAGGAAGGACAUCACCCACAGAAGAAGCACCGGCUAACUCCGUGCCAGCAGCCGCGGUAAUACGGAGGGUGCGAGCGUUAAUCGGAAUUACUGGGCGUAAAGCGCGCGUAGGCGGUCUGAUAAGCCGGUUGUGAAAGCCCCGGGCUCAACCUGGGAACGGCAUCCGGAACUGUCAGGCUAGAGUGCCGGAGAGGAAGGUAGAAUUCCCGGUGUAGCGGUGAAAUGCGUAGAGAUCGGGAGGAAUACCAGUGGCGAAGGCGGCCUUCUGGACUGACACUGACGCUGAGGUGCGAAAGCGUGGGUAGCAAACAGGAUUAGAUACCCUUGUAGUC